rnacentral:rRNA from 1 species
AGCAGCCGCGGUAAUUCCAGCUCCAAUAGCGUAUAUUAAAGUUGUUGCAGUUAAAAAGCUCGUAGUUGAAUUUCGGGAUCAGCGCGUCGGUCGUGCCUCCGGUAUGCACUGGCGCCGCUGGUUUCUCCCUUCUGAGGAACCGUGAUGUCAUUAAUUUGGUGUUGCGGGAAAUCAGGACUGUUACUUUGAAAAAUUAGAGUGUUUAAAGCGGGCACGCGCUUGAAUACAUUAGCAUGGAAUAACGAAAUAGGACGUUCGAUCUUAUUUUGUUGGUUUCUAGGAUUGACGUAAUGAUUAAUAGGGAUAGUUGGGGGCAUUAGUAUUCAAUUGUCAGAGGUGAAAUUCUUGGAUUUAUUGAAGACUAACUACUGCGAAAGCAUUUGCCAAGGAUGUUUUCAUUAAUCAAGAACGAAAGUUAGGGGAUCGAAGACGAUCAGAUACCGUCGUAGUCUUAACCAUAAACUAUGUCGACUAGGGAUCGGAUGAUGUUAAUUUUAUAAUGACUCAU